GAGUUAUCUGAACCUUCGGGGAACGAUAACGGCGUCGAGCGGCGGACGGGUGAGUAAUGCCUAGGAAAUUGCCCUGAUGUGGGGGAUAACCAUUGGAAACGAUGGCUAAUACCGCAUGAUGCCUACGGGCCAAAGAGGGGGACCUUCGGGCCUCUCGCGUCAGGAUAUGCCUAGGUGGGAUUAGCUAGUUGGUGAGGUAAGGGCUCACCAAGGCGACGAUCCCUAGCUGGUCUGAGAGGAUGAUCAGCCACACUGGAACUGAGACACGGUCCAGACUCCUACGGGAGGCAGCAGUGGGGAAUAUUGCACAAUGGGCGCAAGCCUGAUGCAGCCAUGCCGCGUGUGUGAAGAAGGCCUUCGGGUUGUAAAGCACUUUCAGUCGUGAGGAAGGUAGUGUCGUUAAUAGCUGCAUUACUUGACGUUAGCGACAGAAGAAGCACCGGCUAACUCCGUGCCAGCAGCCGCGGUAAUACGGAGGGUGCGAGCGUUAAUCGGAAUUACUGGGCGUAAAGCGCAUGCAGGUGGUUUGUUAAGUCAGAUGUGAAAGCCCGGGGCUCAACCUCGGAAUAGCAUUUGAAACUGGCAGACUAGAGUACUGUAGAGGGGGGUAGAAU
rnacentral:rRNA from 1 species